UGUUCAUAUUGGUUCGGAAGAAGGUUUCGUUCCAGGUGGUCUAUUGUGUUUUCGUUCAAAAAAAAAUACAAUGGACUACCAUGACGAAAUUAAUGGCGAUACCUUUUUCGAUUGGAUUAAAACCGUUGUUCCAUUAUUGAAGGAAGGCAGUGUCAUCGUAAUGGACUANCCUAUCAUUCUGUUAAAUGUGAAAAUAUUCCAAAUAUCAGUUGGAAGAAAGCAGAUAUUGAAAAGUGGUUGGAAGAUAAAGGUCAAGCCUUUGAUAGACCAAUAAUUAAAGUUCGGCUUAUGGAAUUGGUUACGAAAAUUAAACCACAGUUUGACAAAAACAUAAUUGACGAGUGAGUAUGUUAAAUCAAAAAAUAUGAUUGUUUUACGUGUACCCCCUACCACUGCGAACUGAAUCCAAUUAAAUUGGCAUGGGCUUUUGUAAAAAAUAACGUGAAAAUCAACAAUAAAUCUUUUAAAAUUCCGGACGUUGAAAAACUUCUUCGAGAGGGUGUUGAAAAGUGCACUCCGGAGAUGUGGUCAAAUUUUGUCAGACAUACCAAAAAGGUUGAGGACAAAUUUUGGGAGAUCGAUUUCGUAGUAGAAGAGGUGAUGGAAAAUUACAAUGCAACUGUGAUGACAAUAACGGGUGAGACAUUAUCGUCAGAAUCUGAGUAGGAACCAGAACAAGAGAGGACAACGGAAUGAAAAAAAAAUUAUGUAAAUAUGACGAAUAAUUAGUAUUAUACAUUUGUAAUUUUAUCAAACAUAAAAUAAAAUGUAAAUAUGACAAAAAUGAUAAAUUGUAAUUUUAACGAA